GUGGGGAAUCUUGCGCAAUGGGCGAAAGCCUGACGCAGCCAUGCCGCGUGAAUGAUGAAGGUCUUAGGAUUGUAAAAUUCUUUCACCGGGGACGAUAAUGACGGUACCCGGAGAAGAAGCCCCGGCUAACUUCGUGCCAGCAGCCGCGGUAAUACGAAGGGGGCUAGCGUUGCUCGGAAUUACUGGGCGUAAAGGUCGCGUAGGCGGACAGUUUAGUCAGAGGUGAAAGCCCAGGGCUCAACCUUGGAAUUGCCUUUGAUACUGGCUGUCUUGAGUACGGGAGAGGUGAGUGGAACUCCGAGUGUAGAGGUGAAAUUCGUAGAUAUUCGGAAGAACACCAGUGGCGAAGGCGACUCACUGGCCCGUUACUGACGCUGAGGCGCGAAAGCGUGGGGAGCAAACAGGAUUAGAAACCCGGGUAGUCC
rnacentral:rRNA from 1 species